rnacentral:rRNA from 1 species
GCAUAUCAAUAAGCGGAGGAAAAGAAACCAACAGGGAUUGCCCCAGUAACGGCGAGUGAAGCGGCAAGAGCUCAAAUUUGAAAGCUGGCUCCUUCGGGGUCCGCAUUGUAAUUUGUAGAGGAUGCUUCGGGAGCGGUCCCCAUCUAAGUGCCCUGGAACGGGACGUCAUAGAGGGUGAGAAUCCCGUAUGGGAUGGGGUGUCCGCGCCCGUGUGAAGCUCCUUCGACGAGUCGAGUUGUUUGGGAAUGCAGCUCUAAAUGGGUGGUAAAUUUCAUCUAAAGCUAAAUAUUGGCCGGAGACCGAUAGCGCACAAGUAGAGUGAUCGAAAGAUGAAAAGCACUUUGAAAAGAGAGUUAAAAAGCACGUGAAAUUGUUGAAAGGGAAGCGCUUGCGACCAGACUCGCUCGCGGGGUUCAGCCGGCAUUCGUGCCGGUGUAUUUCCCCGCGGGCGGGCCAGCGUCGGUUUGGGCGGUCGGUCAAAGGCCCUCGGAAGGUAACGCCCCUAGGGGCGUCUUAUAGCCGAGGGUGCAAUGCGACCUGCCUAGACCGAGGAACGCGCUUCGGCUCGGACGCUGGCAUAAUGGUCGUAAGCGACCCGUCUUGAAACACGGACCAAGGAGUCUAACAUCUACGCGAGUGUUCGGGUGUCAAACCCGUGCGCGAAGUGAAAGCGAACGGAGGUGGGAACCCUUACGGGUGCACCAUCGACCGAUCCUGAAGUCUUCGGAUGGAUUUGAGUAAGAGCGUAGCUGUUGGGACCCGAAAGAUGGUGAACUAUGCCUGAAUAGGGCGAAGCCAGAGGAAACUCUGGUGGAGGCUCGUAGCGGUUCUGACGUGCAAAUCGAUCGUCGAAUUUGGGUAUAGGGGGCGAAAGACUAAUCGAACCAUCUGGUAGCUGGGUUCCUGCCGAA